UGGGGAAUCUUAGACAAUGGGGGCAACCCUGAUCUAGCCAUGCCGCGUGAGUGAUGAAGGCCUUAGGGUUGUAAAGCUCUUUCAGCUGGGAAGAUAAUGACGGUACCAGCAGAAGAAGCCCCGGCUAACUCCGUGCCAGCAGCCGCGGUAAUACGGAGGGGGCUAGCGUUGUUCGGAAUUACUGGGCGUAAAGCGCACGUAGGCGGACCAGAAAGUUGGGGGUGAAAUCCCGGGGCUCAACCCCGGAACUGCCUUCAAAACUAUUGGUCUGGAGUUCGAGAGAGGUGAGUGGAAUACCGAGUGUAGAGGUGAAAUUCGUAGAUAUUCGGUGGAACACCAGUGGCGAAGGCGGCUCACUGGCUCGAUACUGACGCUGAGGUGCGAAAGCGUGGGGAGCAAACAGG
rnacentral:rRNA from 2 species